UACGUAGGGUGCAAGCGUUGUCCGGAAUUAUUGGGCGUAAAGAGCUCGUAGGCGGUGUGUCGCGUCUGCUGUGAAAACUCAGGGCUCAACUCUGAGCUUGCAGUGGGUACGGGCACACUAGAGUGCUGUAGGGGAGACUGGAAUUCCUGGUGUAGCGGUGAAAUGCGCAGAUAUCAGGAGGAACACCGGUGGCGAAGGCGGGUC
rnacentral:rRNA from 1 species